rnacentral:tRNA from 1 species
CAAGGGUUAGUUUAACAAAAACACUUAAUUUCGACUUAAAAAACUUCGGAAAAUCCGAAACCCUUUU